rnacentral:rRNA from 1 species
AAUCAACGCUGGCGGCGUGCCUCAGACAUGCAAGUCGAACGAUUAAAGCUCUCUUCGGAGAGUGUAUAGAGUGGCGCACGGGUGAGUAACACGUAAGUAAUCUACCCUCGAGUGGGGAAUAACGUCCGGAAACGGACGCUAAUACCGCAUAAUGCAGCGGCACCGCAAGGUGACAGUUGUUAAAGGAGAAAUUCGCUUGAGGAGGAGCUUGCGGCAGAUUAGCUUGUUGGUAAGGUAACGGCUUACCAAGGCUACGAUCUGUAACCGGUCUUAGAGGACGGUCGGUCACACUGACACUGAAUAACGGGUCAGACUCCUACGGGAGGCAGCAGUCGGGAAUUUUGGGCAAUGGGCGAAAGCCUGACCCAGCAACGCCGCGUGAAGGAUGAAGUAUUUUCGGUAUGUAAACUUCGAAAGAAUAGGAAGAAUAAAUGACGGUACUAUUUAUAAGGUCCGGCUAACUACGUGCCAGCAGCCGCGGU